CCUACGGGAGGCAGCAGUGAGGAAUAUUGGUCAAUGGACGGGAGUCUGAACCAGCCAAGUAGCGUGCGGGAUGACUGCCCUAUGGGUUGUAAACUUCUUUUAUAUGGGAAUAAAAUGUUCCACGUGUGGAAUUUUGUAUGUACCGUAUGAAUAAGGAUCGGCUAACUCCGUGCCAGCAGCCGCGGUAAUACGGAGGAUCCGAGCGUUAUCCGGAUUUAUUGGGUUUAAAGGGAGCGUAGGUGGAUCGUUAAGUCAGUUGUAAAAGUUUGCGGCUCAACCGUACAAUUGCAGUUGAAACUGGAAGUCUUGAGUACAGUAGAGGCGGGCGGAAUUCGUGGUGUAGCGGUGAAAUGCUUAGAUAUCACGAAGAACCCCGAUUGCGAAGGCAGUUCACCGGAGUGCAACUGACACUGAGGCUCGAAAGUGUGGGUAUCAAACAGGAUUAGAUACCCGAGUAGUC
rnacentral:rRNA from 1 species